AGAAAGUGUUGGAAUUCAAGGAUUUGAUCAAGCAAAGGCUGGGACAAUUUGUUGAUAGUUGAUUAAGACGAGAAUUAAUCUUGGAGUUGCAUCUUAGAAAGUAAGGCUUCGUAGCCCUACAUCUUCGUAGUCAGUUGGGGGCCCACGUGUCACUGUAAAAAAGCUGAUGCUAAGCCUUGCGGGGUUUU